rnacentral:rRNA from 1 species
GACGAACGCUGGCGGCGUGCUUAACACAUGCAAGUCGAACGGUAACAGGCCCUUCGGGGUGCUGACGAGUGGCGGACGGGUGAGUAACGCUUAGGAAUCUGCCUGGUUGUGGGGGAGUAACCCGGGGAAACUCGGGCUAAUACCGCAUACGUCUCCCUGUCUUUGCGACAGGGAGGGAAAGCGGGGGACCUUCGGGCCUCGCGCUAUCAGAUGAGCCUAAGUCCGAUUAGCUAGUUGGUAGGGUAACGGCCUACCAAGGCGACGAUCGGUAGCUGGUCUGAGAGGACGACCAGCCACACUGGGACUGAGACACGGCCCAGACUCCUACGGGAGGGCAGCAGUGGGGAAUAUUGGACAAUGGGCGAAAGCCUGAUCCAGCGAUGCCGCGUGUGUGAAGAAGGCCUGCGGGUUAGUAAAGCACUUUCAGUAGGGAAGAAAAGCCGAGUGCCAAUACCACUCGGUCUUGACGUUACCUAAAGAAGAA